rnacentral:rRNA from 1 species
AGAGUUUGAUCCUGGCUCAGGAUGAACGUUGGCGGUGUGCCUAAUACAUGCAAGUCGAACGGUGACGAUUUUGUAGCAAUACGAAUGAAAUCAUAGUGGCGAACGGGUGAGUAACGCGUUGGUGAUCUGCCUCGAAGUGUGGAAUAACUUCCCGAAAGGGUAGCUAAUACCGCAUAGUCUCUCAAGGUUUAGAAAAUUGAGAGUAAAGGAUUUAUUCGCUUCGAGAGGAGCCCUGCGUCCCAUCAGCUAGUUGGUAGGGUAAUAGCCUACCAAGGCAAUGACGGGUAGGGGACCUGAGAGGGUGGCCCCCCACAAUGGAACUGAAACACGGUCCAUACACCUACGGGUGGCAGCAGUAGGGAAUAUUAGAAAUGGGCGAAAGCCUGAUCUAGCAACACCGCGUGUGCGAUGAAGGCCUUCGGGUUGUAAAGCACUUUUUGGAGGGAAUAGGAAGGAAGGUACCUCCAGAAUAAGUCUCGGCUAACUGCGUGCCAGCAGCCGCGGUAACACGUAGGAGGCAAACGUUAUCCGGAUUCACUGGGCGUAAAGCGCGUGUAGGUGGUUCUGUAAGUAGGGCGUGAAAGCUCCCGGCUCAACUGGGAGAGGCCGUACUAAACUGCAGAGCUAGAGGAUGGUAGAGGGAGGUGGAAUUCCAGGUGUAGUGGUGAAAUGCGCAGAUAUCUGGAGGAACACCAGUGGCGAAGGCGGCCUCCUGGACCAUUCCUGACACUCAGACGCGAAAGCUAGGGUAGCAAACGGAAUUAGAGACUCCGGUAGUCCUAGCCCUAAACGAUGCAGACUAGGCAUCGGCGGUUUAAUCACCGUCGGUGUCCAAGCUAACGCGAUAAGUCUGCCGCCUGAGGAGUACGGCCGCAAGGCUAAAACUCAAAGGAAUUGACGGGUCCCCGCACAAGCAGCGGAGCGUGUGGUUUAAUUCGAUGCUCCGCGAAGAACCUUACCUGGGUUUGACAUAACAGUGGUAGAGAAGAGAAAACGGAUCGACCCUUCGGGGAGGUGUUACAGGUGUUGCAUGCCUGUCGUCAGCUCGUGUCGUGAGAUGUUCGGUUAAGUCCGCUAACGAGCGCAACCCGCGCUGUGUGUUACAAGUGUCACACAGUACCGCCGGUAUUAAGUCGGAGGAAGGUGCGGAUGACGUCAAGUCAGCAUGACCUUUAUAUCCAGGGCUACACACACGCUACAAUGGUCAGAACAAUAGGUUGCCAAGCCGCAAGGCGGAGCCAAUCCUCCAAAUCUGGCCUCAGUUCAGAUUGCAGGCUGCAACUCGCCUGCAUGAAGUCGGAGUUGCUAGUAACCGCAGGUCAGCAUACUGCG